GAGGGUACAGCUCAGUGUUAGAGUGCCUGUUUAUCAUGUACAAGGUCCUGGGUUCAAUCCCCAGUACCUCCA
rnacentral:tRNA from 1 species